CUGAGUUCAAAAGGAAGGACUGAGCUUUGUGUCCUGGCAGGAAGCCUUUUUACCCUUAAGCCAGCUGCCUGAUUUUGUCUAUGCAGUAUGUGUGCCAGCAAUCAAGGCUCUAUAGGAUCAUGGAAUCCUAGCAUCACUGAAGUUGGAAAAGACAUUCAGAAUCAUCAAGUGCAAUCAUCAGUCUGACAUACCAACUCCCACUGCUAU
rnacentral:lncRNA from 1 species